GACGAACGCUGGCGGCGUGCUUAACACAUGCAAGUCGAGCGGUAAGGCCCUUUCGGGGGUAUACGAGCGGCGAACGGGUGAGUAACACGCGAGCAACCUGCCCUUCUCUUUGGAAUAAGCGUUGGAAACGACGUCUAAUGCCGAAUAUGACCCCCUGUCGCAUGGUGGGGGGUGGAAAGCUCCGGCGGAGAAGGAUGGGCUCGCGGCCUAUCAGCUUGUUGGUGUGGGUAAUGGCCCACCAAGGCGACGACGGGUAGCCGGCCUGAGAGGGUGAACGGCCACACUGGGACUGAGACACGGCCCAGACUCCUACGGGAGGCAGCAGUGGGGAAUAUUGGACAAUGGGCGAAAGCCUGAUCCAGCAACGCCGCGUGAGGGAUGACGGCCUUCGGGUUGUAAACCACUUUCAGCAGGGACGAAGCGAGAGUGACGGUACCUGCAGAAGAAGGACCGGCCAACUACGUGCCAGCCGCCGCGGUAA
rnacentral:rRNA from 1 species